AACGAACGCUGGCGGCAUGCCUAACACAUGCAAGUCGAACGGGAUCCUAGCUUGCUAGGUGAGAGUGGCGGACGGGUGAGUAACACGUGGGAAUCUGCCUUUUGGUUCGGGAUAACCGCGGGAAACUGCGGCUAAUACCGAAUGCCCUCGAGAGAGGAAAGAUUUAUCGCCAGAAGAGGAGCCCGCGUCCGAUUAGGUAGUUGGUGGGGUAAAGGCCUACCAAGCCGACGAUCGGUAGCUGGUCUGAGAGGAUGAUCAGCCACACUGGGACUGAGAUACGGCCCAGACUCCUACGGGAGGCAGCAGUGGGGGAAUAUUGGACAAUGGGGGCAACCCUGAUCCAGCAAUGCCGCGUGAGUGAUGAAGGCCUUAGGGUUGUAAGCUCUUUUGCCAGGAAGAUGAUGACUGUACCUGGAGAAUAAGCCCCGGCUAACUUCGUGCCAGCAGCCACGGUAAU
rnacentral:rRNA from 1 species